AUAAAGAAAGGACAACAUACUGAGAAAUUCCAGGGACUAAUAUUGAGAUGAACCAGGCAUGGAGACCAAGCUGCAAAAUUCCAGAAAUGACCUCCAGGUUGUUAGUCUACAACCCAGCCAUCGUCAAGAUAACAUUAGACUGCGUUCCAGGUGGACCAUGACUCAAGAUAGCCACCAGACCAAGGCACGGACACCUAGCACCCAGCACCACUCCUGCAUGCCUCCCACUCUAAGUUCCCCUUUAUAAACACCUCUCCACAGUCGAAAGUUUGAAAUCGUCUUUUAAGGGCAUGAGCUUGGCCAUUCCCAGAUCUUGGCAUUUGAAUAAAGUAGCUCUCUGUUCAUCACACCCCGCUUCUCGUGUUUUCAGCCUCUGAGUGGAGCAGCCAGACUUGCGUGUGGUGACGCUACUGUAUGGCUACAUCAAACAGAAAUAGAGACCAAAGAAGAGAAUGAGGAGAGUAAAGUUAGCAGAAGUGGAAAAAUA
rnacentral:lncRNA from 1 species